UACGAAGGGUGCAAACGUUGCUCGGAAUUAUUGGGCGUAAAGCGCGCGUAGGCGGCUUGGCAAGUCGGAUGUGAAAUCCCUCGGCUCAACCAAGGAAGUGCAUCCGAAACUGCUGAGCUUGAGUACUUAAGAGGAUCGCGGAAUUCCCGGUGUAGAGGUGAAAUUCGUAGAUAUCGGGAGGAACACCAGUGGCGAAGGCGACUUCCUGGCCUGUUCUUGACGCUGAGGCGCGAAAGCUAGGGGAGCAAACGGG
rnacentral:rRNA from 1 species